UUGGAGGGCAAGUCUGGUGCCAGCAGCCGCGGUAAUUCCAGCUCCAAUAGCGUAUAUUAAAGUUGUUGCAGUUAAAAAGCUCGUAGUUGAAUUUCGGGAUUAGUACGUUGGUCGUGCCUUCGGUACGUACUGGUGUUACUGAUUCCUACCUUCUGACGAACCAUCAUGUCAUUAAUUUGGUGUGGUGGGGAAUCAGGACUGUUACUUUGAAAAAAUUAGAGUGUUUAAAGCAGGCUCGCGCUUGAAUACAUUAGCAUGGAAUAAUGAAAUAGGACGUUGACCCUAUUUUGUUGGUUUCUAGGAUUGACGUAAUGAUUAAUAGGGAUAGUUGGGGGCAUUAGUAUUCGAUUGUCAGAGGUGAAAUUCUUGGAUUUAUUGAAGACUAACUACUGCGAAAGCAUUUGCCAAGGAUGUUUUCAUUAAUCAAGAACGAAAGUUAGGGGAUCGAAGACGAUCAGAUACCGUCGUAGUCUUAACCAUAAACUAUGCCGACUAGGGAUCGGAUGAUGUUAUUUUUAAUGACUCAUUCGGCGCCUUACGGGAAAC
rnacentral:rRNA from 1 species